rnacentral:rRNA from 1 species
CUAAUACCCAAUGACGUCUCUAGAAGGCAUCUGAAAGAGAUUAAAGAUUUAUCGGUGAUGGAUGGGGAUGCGUCUGAUUAGCUUGUUGGCGGGGUAACGGCCCACCAAGGCAACGAUCAGUAGGGGUUCUGAGAGGAAGGUCCCCCACAUUGGAACUGAGACACGGUCCAAACUCCUACGGGAGGCAGCAGUGAGGAAUAUUGGUCAAUGGACGAGAGUCUGAACCAGCCAAGUAGCGUGCAGGAAGACGGCCCUAUGGGUUGUAAACUGCUUUUAUAAGGGAAUAAAGUGAGUCUCGUGAGACUUUUUGCAUGUACCUUAUGAAUAAGGACCGGCUAAUUCCGUGCCAGCAGCCGCGGUAAUACGGAAGGUCCGGGCGUUAUCCGGAUUUAUUGGGUUUAAAGGGAGCGUAGGCCGGAGAUUAAGCGUGUUGUGAAAUGUAGACGCUCAACGUCUGCACUGCAGCGCGAACUGGUUUCCUUGAGUACGCACAAAGUGGGCGGAAUUCGUGGUGUAGCGGUGAAAUGCUUAGAUAUCACGAAGAACUCCGAUUGCGAAGGCAGCUCACUGGAGCGCAACUGACGCUGAAGCUCGAAAGUGCGGGUAUCGAACAGGAUUAGAUACCCUGGUAGUCCGCACGGUAAAC